rnacentral:rRNA from 1 species
CGUACCUUUUGCAUCAUGAUCUAGCCAGUACCCCCAAGCAAAGAGAACUCUAGUUUGAUGCCCCGAAACCUCCGACGAGCUACCUCAAGGCCGCCUAAGACAGGGCAAACCCAUCUCUGUGGCAAAAGAGUGGGGAGACCUUCAGGUAGAGGUGAAAAGCCUACCGAGUCAGGUUAUAGCUGGUUGCUCAGAAAAUGAAUAACAGUUCAGCCCCAUAUUACGCCCCUUACCAACCAUAUUAUCCCACAGGCAACAGGGCCACCCAUGGGAGUUAGUUAAAGGAGGUACAGCUCCCUUAACAAAGAAUACAACCUUAAUACAGGAGGCUAAGGAAUAUAUUUUACCAAAGGCUUCUAAAAGUUUUAGUGGGCCUAAAAGCAGCCAUCCAAACGAAAAGCGUUAAAGCUUAAACCAAACCAAGCCUAAUAUUUCAUUCAACCCUCCAAUGCCCCUGCAUACUACUGAGCCAUUUUAUGCUCACAUAAAAGAGACCAUGCUAGAACAAGUAAUAAGAAGAAUGAACUUCUCCCCGCACACGUGUAAAUCGAACCGGACAAACCACCGAUAAUUAACGAACCCAAAAACAGAGGGCCCCACACAAUCGCCACCCAAACCAAGAAAACCACGUCCCCCCACAAUCGUUAUCCCUACACAGGAGUGCACACAUUUAAGGAAAGGCCAAAAGGAUGAAAAGGAACUCGGCAAACCUAAACCCCGCCUGUUUACCAAAAACAUCGCCUCUUGCUAUUAACCACAUA